GAUGAACGCUGGCGGCGUGCCUAAUACAUGCAAGUCGAGCGAACAGACGAGGAGCUUGCUCCUCUGACGGUAGCGGCGGACGGGUGAGUAACACGUGGAUAACCUACCUAUAAGACUGGGAUAACUUCGGGAAACCGGAGCUAAUACCGGAUAAUAUAUUGAACCGCAUGGUUCAAUAGUGAAAGACGGUUUUGCUGUCACUUAUAGAUGGAUCCGCGCCGCAUUAGCUAGUUGGUAAGGUAACGGCUUACCAAGGCAACGAUGCGUAGCCGACCUGAGAGGGUGAUCGGCCACACUGGAACUGAGACACGGUCCAGACGCCUACGGGAGGCAGCAGUAGGGAAUCUUCCGCAAUGGGCGAAAGCUUGACGGAGCAACGCCGCGUGAGUGAUGAAGGUCUUCGGAUCGUAAAACUCUGUUAUUAGGGAAGAACAAAUGUGUAAGUAACUAUGCACGUCUUGACGGUACCUAAUCAGAAAGCCACGGCUAACUACGUG
rnacentral:rRNA from 1 species